rnacentral:lncRNA from 1 species
UCACAAACAAUAAUAAUGUUUUUAUUUAAUGAAUCGAAGAUAAAAAUUUAUUACAUAUUUUUAUGUAUUAGUUACAAAUAUUUGCACUGUAUUUUUUUUAAUAUUUGUUCUGGACUAUCCAAAAGAUUAUGUUCGACGGUCCUACAUUGAGCAUAAGCUCAAUCUUAAAGAGGGUCAAACAUUUCUUUGGCUCAAUAAACUUUAUACUAAACAUAAGCCUAAUUCUAGGAAGGCCAAAAAAUAGCACACACGCAUCUUCAUCAAAGGACUCUUUUGUCCUGCUCCUUGAUGGUCAAAAGCUUAGGAUUCCCCAUAAUAUGUAAUGAUUUCGACCAUCUAUGUCUACCAACGUUUGACAGUUAUAAAUCUGAUGAUCGUAACAACUUCUCAACAUUUGCCUUAAGUGGUUAAGUUCGACGAUUGUAUAAAAAGAAAGGGACUCUAAAUCAUCCCUCACAAAGGACAUUAUUUAUGUAGAAAACCACUCAUUCUAUACCCUCUUACUACUUGAGUGUUUGAGUCUUUGCACGUACCCCCAUAAUUGCUUCAACAUCGUAACAACAAAUCAGACGUCGUCCUCCUAAUCAGGUCAGAUCAUCGGUGUUGUAUGCGGGAAAGGCCAAAACCUUCACUAAUCUAAAAGUGUGAUACCCCAUACGAAUUCUACCAUGAUCAUUUCUAACUGUUCUAAUAGAAAAAUAUUUUGCACUUUACACUAGACUGAAAAUACAUGUACGAUUUAUCCUUGUUUGGUUUAAAAUUCAUCUUAAUAUCAUCGAACCUCAUCCCUUAAUAAAAAAAAAUCAUCGACUAUCAUGGUUUAGAAUAAUUCUGUAUAAAU